CGGCCUGGAGAUCGUGAUGGCCGUCGCGCAGGGCGUGGAAGCCCGGCGCGAGCCGGUCGGCAAACGCAGCUCCG
rnacentral:tRNA from 1 species